UACGGAGGGAGCUAGCGUUGUUCGGAAUUACUGGGCGUAAAGCGCACGUAGGCGGCUUUGUAAGUUAGAGGUGAAAGCCCGGGGCUCAACUCCGGAAUUGCCUUUAAGACUGCAUCGCUUGAAUCCGGGAGAGGUGAGUGGAAUUCCGAGUGUAGAGGUGAAAUUCGUAGAUAUUCGCAAGAACACCAGUGGCGAAGGCGGCUCACUGGCCCGAUACUGACGCUGAGGCACGAAAGCGUGGGGAGCAAACAGG
rnacentral:rRNA from 1 species